GGGAUGGUAAAACACAUCCUGGAGGGGCUUAAUGGUGCUGGAAAGUGAGGAAAGAUUCUACAGAAAUUGCCCUGUGGUUUGGAGGUGCAGGCUAACUUUAAACAAGGAAGCAGGAGCUCUGGAACAGCAGAUCAGUAGCUUCAGGCUCCUCUUUGAGCAGAGUGGCUGCGAGGGAGGAUGGAAAACUGCUCCUUUGGAUGUCUGAGGUUCCGAGGUGAAGCUCUCCUAACUACAUGCAAAGGGCUCUGAGAGCAAAGGGCUUCAGCAACAGCUCAGUCCAGGAGUCCAGCUGACCCUGGAGAAAUCAACAGAUGCAAGAGGCAGCAGCAAAUGCUUGCAGAAAAAGUGUUAGAGCAGAGCAAGCAUACAGAUAUUUCUCUAGGCCAACUUUGCCAUGGUAAGUGAGACCAAGUUGCCAUGUCCAGCUGAAGGUGACAAUGGGCCGGACAGAGUCACCAAAUGUUCUGUCUGCACUGGACUCUGCUGCUUGCUUGGGUGAAAGAAUGGAAGUAUCAAGAAAUGUGGGAUUUUUAAUCUCUUACUCAGGAGGUAGAAUCCCAAAUUCCUCUCUGGUCUAUAACAGAACAGAUACCAAAGAGGGAAAGUUUAUUUUAAAACAAGUCUCUUCCCUCAACUCCCAUUCAAACCAGAUGAUCAUCAAAAUACAAGCCCUGCAUUUGCACCUACCUGCUCAAACCUGGUUUGUUUUUUUUUUUUGUGUGUGUUUCAAAGGCAGAUGGAUUGCUUAGAAACAUUAUUUUUACUUCAGCAGGUGAUUACCCAAAUAAAUGCUACACCUAAUUAAAUGCUGGAAAAAGUAUUUAAGAUCAUUAGUGGUAACAAGACUGGCAGAAGGAAGGUAGCAUGUAGAAUAAAAAGAAUCUACUGCCCUCCCUCCCAGCCCUUCUGUGAAGAGACAAGCUGAAAAUGAAGAUUGUGAAAGGAGCUGGACCAGUAUCAACAGCAGUGUGACUUGCAGGAUUUCAAACCAAUGGCAAAAGCCAACAAACCAAAUGACUUAAUGGGAGCUGAUUUCCUUUUGUUCAGGGUCCAGGGCAGGAAGGGUUUUGCUGUGACUGGAAGUGCUCACUUCUUCUAUAGAACCAGGCUCUCUACAUGGAGAUUUAUUUUCUGGUUUGUUUAUUCCUGCUUUGCCCCGAGCUUGCUGAAAUCAGUGGAAUUAUUUAGCAAAAAGGUUCUGAGUAGAAACCAGAUGCCCAGGUCCUGGUGUUUGGAAGGGAAUAGCACCUCACUGCUCCAGUGGAUGAAAAACCGAGUCUUUCUGAAAAACAAGGUGCUUUGGGAGCAAACAAAUGCCUCAGGGUUUGAUUGAAUGUGGUUGAUUGUGGCCAUCCAGGCUGUGCUCACCUCCUGAGCACACCUGGAGCUGCUGCACUGCUCUUGCCCCUCUCAGCCCGACCCCAGGCAUGAAGGCAGUUUCUUUUAUUUAUUCAUUUUAUUUAUUUAUUUAUUUAUUUAUUUAGUUUUGGCUGUUUUGCCUGGGCUUUGCUGGGGCACAGCUUUGUUUGUACCUCUUCUGUCAGUGAUCCAAAACCUGUGUGUCUGUGACCGCCACUGGGGGAAGCUGCUCUCUCAAAGCUUGGUGUGAUCUGUCCUCUCUGUAAAGGUUUCCUUAAUUUUGUGUGCCUGGAAUUAGCAGUCUCAUGUGACUCCUCUGAGUUAUUUAGUUCUUCAGGAUCAAAGCUCUAUUCAAACAAAAAACGGUGCUGAGAUGAUUAUUUGAAACUUUUGAUAUUUAAUGGGGGCGAGGAUGUUUAUGUGCCAAAACAAGGCACUCUAGAAAGAAAAAAACUUAGAGCAGAAAAAAGGAUUUUUCUGCUGAAUGAUCAUGCAAAUCAUGUUGUGACUGACUAAUAUUUAAAUGGGAAAUAUUGUUGAUAAUUUAUUGGGCAGGCAAGAAUCUUUUUUAGCCCUGCCUGAAAGCCAGAAGGGAGUGAUGGACAGGGGGCUUGCAAGGGAAUGUGAUAUCCAGACAACAAAUACCAGCACUGCUUUUGACUACAGAUGAAGCAAAGUUGUUUAUAGCAAAUACCUCUGAGAAAAAAGUUUUUUGAGAAAGACUGGUAUUUUGGCUGUCAGAUCUGCUUCAGGUCUAGUGAUUACCAACAUCUUAGCUGCUUCAAUUCCCUGAUGAGCUGCCUUGAAAACAUGAGUUCUAUAAAUCACCUCACAACGCUGCACUACAAAGCCCUGGUGAUCAGCAAUGCAGUGACCACGUUUAUGGGAAGAAAAGACAUCAUUUCAGGGAAUUAUAUGAGAAUGUAUCAACUCCACACAUCUUGAUUGCAGACUCUGCAGGUAGCCAAGGUUUCUGUGGCUUACUCCUUGACCUUCACCUUUGCUUUCACAGACUGCAAACUUCUCAGAGAUGUGCAUGGUGUGAACUGCAUCUUAAUAGCUGGAGUGCCUGAUGGAGAGAUUCCCUUCCAUUCUUAAUUGGGAGGUGGCUGUGGCUGUGUCAUCCAGCUUCACAAAGAUCUGCUGCUCCCAACCUGCAGUUGCAUAGCAUCUCUGGGGAAAAUAGGACAAUUUGUAACAAUUAAAGUUGGCUUUAGAGUGCAUGUUUACAUUGGGAUCUAUAAAUAUUCCCACACUUCUAAUAGAUGUUAAGCUUUUCUAUUUUUGCUUUGCUUCCUAUUUUAUCUCACAUCUCUAUACUCUCUUUAGGCUGCAAUAAUUUUU